AAGAAAUUAGUUAAUAAUUUAUAACAUUAGUUUGUCAAAUUAAAAUAAUCUUUUUUAGAUAUUUCUUA
rnacentral:tRNA from 1 species